GAUGAACGCUGGCGGCGUGCCUAAUACAUGCCAGUCGAGCGAACAGACGAGGAGCUUGCUCCUUCGACGUUAGCGGCGGACGGGUGAGUAACACGUAGGUAACCUACCUAUAAGACUGGGAUAACUUCGGGAAACCGGAGCUAAUACCGGAUAAUAUUUCGAACCGCAUGGUUCGAUAGUGAAAGAUGGCUUUGCUAUCACUUAUAGAUGGACCUGCGCCGUAUUAGCUAGUUGGUAAGGUAACGGCUUACCAAGGCAACGAUACGUAGCCGACCUGAGAGGGUGAUCGGCCACACUGGAACUGAGACACGGUCCAGACUCCUACGGGAGGCAGCAGUAGGGAAUCUUCCGCAAUGGGCGAAAGCCUGACGGAGCAACGCCGCGUGAGUGAUGAAGGUCUUCGGAUCGUAAAACUCUGUUAUUAGGGAAGAACAAGCGUGUAAGUAACUGUGCACGUCUUGACGGUACCUAAUCAGAAAGCCACGGCUAACUACGUG
rnacentral:rRNA from 1 species